GAAGAGGAAGGAGGCUGACUUUGGAAAGUGGGCAUGGGGGUUCACAGAGGGCUCCUGAUUGGGGGAUGUAGUGCCUGGUUAUCCUUGAGCUCACACCAACAAUGUCUGUCCAUCUGUCCAGCUCCCGCUGGCUCAGAACCAUGGCUGUGCCAGCCGGCACCCAGGUGUGGAGACAAGAUCUACAACCCCUUGGAGCAGUGCUGUUACGAUGAUGCCAUCGUGUCCCUGAGCGAGACCCGCCAAUGUGGUCCCCACUGCACCUUCUGGCCCUGCUUUGAGCUCUGCUGUCCUGAGUCCUUUGGCCUCACAAACGAUUUUGUUGUGAAGCUGAAGGUUCAGGGUGUGAAUUCCCAGUGCCACUCAUCUCCCAUCUCCAGUAAAUGUGAAAGCAGAAGACGUUUUCCCUGAGAAGACAUAGAAAGAAAAUCAACUUUCAGUGAGGCAUCUCGGAAACACAGGCUAGGGUAAUAUGUGUAACAGUAAAGAAGCCUGAGGAAUUUACAAAAUGGUGCAGCUCCAAGCCAUUGUAUGGCCCAUGUGGGAGACUGAUGGGACAUGGAGAAUGACAGUAGUUUAUCAGGAAAUAAAGUGGGUUUUCCAAU
rnacentral:lncRNA from 1 species